CUUGUUAUGCAGUUGUACAUGUUGUUGCCUCAAAUAAUACAGUUGUUUUUCAGAAGUGGAAUGAAGUUAUUGUCAAUUGUACAUGUGAUUGCCUCAAAAUAAUACUAAUGAUUUCCAGAAGAAGGACAGAGUCAUUAUCGAGUAAGCCCCAAGUCUUUGCACUCAAGUCCCAAGGACACUCAAAGACCCCUGGAAAGUGCCUGGCACUGCCUUCAGGGCUUGAGCGACAACAUGGCAACCUUAAAGGCUGCAACAAAUGUGCUUCAACAGAAUGUAGAAGUGUUGCUGGAAAGACACUCAUUCUGUUGGAUAACGAAGGAGUUGCCAGUGACUAGCCGUCCAUCAGGUAGACUCUCCAGCAAACCCCUCUCAUCACCGCUCACAGAACCAUAGACAACUAAUGGCCUGGUGGAGAUGUAUCAGCACCAUGGACAGCAAACAGUUGGAGUGGAGAUAUAUCAGCACCAUGGACAGCAACCCUCUGAUGGUAAUGUUUCAGCACCAUUGACAGCAACCCUCUGAUGGAAGUGUUUCAGCACCAUUGGCAGCAACCCUCUGAUGGUAAUGUUUCAGCACCAUGGACAGCAACCCUCUGAUGGUUACGUUUCAGCACCAUAUACAGCAAUCUGUGGGGUAGGGAUGUUUCAGCACUGUGUACAGCAGCUCUGUAAAGAAUUGUUUCAGAACCAUAGACAACUAAUGGCCUGGUGGAGAUGUUUUACCACCAUGAACAGCAAACUGUCUGGUGGAGAUAUAUCAGCACCAGGGACAGCGAACAGAGAGGGUGGGGAUGUUUCAGCUCCAUGGACAGCAAACUAUGGAUAAGAUGUUUCAGCACAAUGGACAGCAGGUCUCUCAUGAAUUUAUUUCAGCACCAUGCCUUUGUCUGAACCAUGUGUGCACGUCCCCACUGAAUUAUAUUUUCAAAGGAAGCCAUCUAGCGAAUUACACUGCACUUUUAUCCCUAGGAAAUCCCAGAUGUAUGGGCACUGUGCCACAGGAACAAACACUCUAUAUGCAAGCUUUACAAACAUUUCUUAAUCUUUCCUAAUUUCAUGUGGAUUAGUCCUUAAAUUUAACUUAUUUACAGAGGCAGACCAUUUGAGUAAAACAAGCACUUUCGUUUAAAGGAGUUUCAACAUUGAACCUAAACAUUCAUAGCAAAAAUAUAAACAUACCAAUUGAGUGUUUCUGUGAUCAAGGCGGACAGUCUUUUAAUUGUCAAUCAGUACAACCUGCUCCAGGAAAUAGCUGUUUUGGGAUUUGCCAUCACAUUCUCUGUUUGCAGAUUUUUU